GAAUUUAAAUUUUUAUUGUUGGUCUUGUUUAUUUUUUAUGGAAGAAGUAUAUUUUUUUUUAUUAAUUUUUUUUGAAAUAAUAUUAUUUAUUAUAGUUGAUUGUACUGUGAAGGAUAUUUUUAAAUUUUUAUAAGAAGAUUUUUUUUAUUGUACCUUGUGUAUCAGGGUUUAUUAAUUUAAAAUUAUGUAUUUAGUUUUCUCGAAUUUAAAAGAGCUAUGAAUUUAUUAAUUUUAAUGUUGAAUAAUUAUUUAAAAUUUUUUUAUAGCAAUGAAACGUUAUUCGUUUUUAAUUAUAUCUAGUUUUUCAAGAAAUGAAUUUAAUUCGUUAGGCAUUUUGUGUUUUUAUAAUUUUUAUUUAUACAUUUGUGUUUAAAAAUUUUUAAGGGGAUUAGCUUUUGAAAAUAUUUUUAUAAUUUAUUAGUUUUUAUUUUUUUAUAGGAUUAGAAUUUUCCAUUAAUUGUAGAAUGUUAUAAUUAAUUAAUAAAAAAUUUUAUUUAAUUUUAUUUUAAGUUAUUUAUUGAAACUUUAUUUUUAAUUUUUUAGAUUAAUUUAUUAUGAUGGAAUUAGUAUAAUGUUUUGUUUAAUAAUUUAUUAUUUUUAGAUUAGUUAAAGGAACUCGGCAAAAUUAAUUUUCACCUGUUUAUUAAAAACAUGUCUUUUUGUUAAUUAUAAAAGGUUUGGCCUGCCCAAUGAUUGUUUAAAUGGCCGCAGUAUUUUGACUGUGCAAAGGUAGCAUAAUCAUUAGUUUUUUUAUUGAAAGCUGGAAUGAAAGGUCGGAUGAAAAAUUAACUGUCUCUGUCUAAAUUUUUUGAAUUUUAUUUUUUAGUAAAAAAGCUUAAAUUAUUUAGGAAGACGAGAAGACCCUAUAGAGUUUAAUAUAAAUGUAGGGUUUUAUUUUAGGUUUAUUCUAUUUCUUAUUUUUAUAUUUUAUUGGGGUGAUAUAAAAAUUGAGUAAACUUUUUAAUAUUUUUACACUAAUUAGUGAAUUUUUGAUCCUUUGUUAGGAUUAAAAGAUUAAGUUACCUUAGGGAUAACAGCGUAAUUUCUUUGGAAAGUUCUUAUUGAUAAAGAAGUUUGCGACCUCGAUGUUGGAUUAAAGUUUAUUUUUGGUGUAGAAGCUAAAAAAUUAAGUCUGUUCGACUUUUAAAAUUUUACAUGAUCUGAGUUUAAACCGGCGUGAGCCAGGUUGGUUUCUAUCUUCUAUAAAAUAAAUGUUUUAGUACGAAAGGACCAUUCAUUUAAAUGAUAUUUUAUUUUUGAUUAUUAU
rnacentral:rRNA from 1 species